GACGAACGCUGGCGGCGUGCCUAAUACAUGCAAGUAGAACGCUGAAGGAGGAGCUUGCUCUUCUGGAUGAGUUGCGAACGGGUGAGUAACGCGUAGGUAACCUGCCUGGUAGCGGGGGAUAACUAUUGGAAACGAUAGCUAAUACCGCAUAACAUUGACUAUUGCAUGAUAGUCAAUUGAAAGGUGCAAAUGCACCACUACCAGAUGGACCUGCGUUGUAUUAGCUAGUUGGUGGGGUAACGGCUCACCAAGGCGACGAUACAUAGCCGACCUGAGAGGGUGAUCGGCCACACUGGGACUGAGACACGGCCCAGACUCCUACGGGAGGCAGCAGUAGGGAAUCUUCGGCAAUGGACGAAAGCCUGACCGAGCAACGCCGCGUGAGUGAAGAAGGUUUUCGGAUCGUAAAGCUCUGUUGUAAGAGAAGAACGAGUGUGAGAGGGAAAGUUCACACUGGACG
rnacentral:rRNA from 1 species